UGCUAGGAUUGCAGGUCUGUGCCACCACGCCUGGCUCAAAACUGGCACAGAGAAGACAGAGGUUAGAUCCACACAGCUCUUCCAUGAAGCCCAGUAGAGUCUGGGGAUGGACUUGGGGGGGCGGUCUCAGCAAGUCUCCUCAAAUUACAUGCAAAAUGUGCCAGCAAGGAGAAAGGCCCCAUGAUUUUCAGCACAUUUACAAAAGGAUUUAAAAUCUAACACAGUUUGAGAACCACUGGGUGGUCCAGGCGAAGUGGAUGACGGGUUUUUUUCUUCCUCUGGCAAAUCUGUUUUACAGCUUUAAAAAACUGACCCAUAAAAGUUGUACAUGUUUAUGGUGGGCCAUGGGAUACUUGGGUACAUCCUGUGUACACUGUGUAACGGUCAAAUCUGGGUAGGCACAUCUCUCUCUUCCAACAGCAUUUCUAUGUGAUAAAGACAGUCAAGAUCCCCCUGGUGUUUUUUGAAGUCAACAGGGGCCGUGGGUGAGGUGCCGUGUACAGUGCGUGUUCAGAGCGCUUGAAGCCCAGGGCUCCACCUUCAGCCUCAAAGCAAAGCAAAGCAUCACGCCCAGGUUGGUCUUGCACAUGUGAUCCUCCUGCCUUCGCCUCCCAAGUGCUAAGAUUACCAUCGUGGCCUGCUAUGAAAUUCAAUGUUUUAGAAACCCAAGAAAGGGAUCCAACUCGGGACCUUGCGCUUUCCAGGCAAGCGGUGGAACCACUGAGCUAAAUCCCCAGCCCUAUAGCCUUUUAAUAGUUAUCUUUCUUUUUUCAGUACCAGGGAUCAAACUCAGGACCUUGCACUUGCCAGGCAGGUGUGGUGCCACUGAGCCAAAUCCCUGGCCCUAUAGCCUUUAAUAAUUCUCUACCUAAAACCAAAGUUUCAAUUCCUCAA
ensembl:lncRNA